UUGAAAAAGGCAAGUGGGUUAAUAUGCACUUAUCAUCAUCAUUUACUAUGCAUAAUAAUAAUAAUAAACUAAUGGAAUGGAAUGCAAAAAGUGAACAUCAUUAGCCCAGCCGUCUCCCUCUUUUCAUUAAUCAUUCUCAUUUAAUUAUGGAUUCAAAAUUUGAGUAUUAAUUAAUGAAAUAAAAGAGAUUAAAUGGGAACUUAAAGGCCAAUGACAUCUAAUUAAAAGAAAUCACACUAAUUCCCUUUCUUAAACUCUCUCUCUCUCCAACUUUCGUCUAUCUUCCUUCUGUUAACCUUUAUUUUUCUUUUUCAUUAUUCUAACAUCAACGUCGACACUGAGGAAAACCUGGUGGUAACCACCUAAUCUCCACGUCGGAACCUCUCUCUGUAAGGCCACGGUGGCAUUGUCGCGGGUACACAAAAAUCACACCUAAAUCCUAGCCAAACAAACAUUUCCAAACACGAAUCUAACCAUGUAACUUCCAAAUCAAAAACAAACGACCCAAAGAAAUCGAAACAAAAACCGAAACAACAAGACAACAGAAAUCUCGUGUAAUAAUCAUGGGGGUUAUGGCAUUUGAGGCGAUGUGAACGAGAUGGCAAUAUCAAAUCAUGCAAAGGAGAAAUGUUAAAUACCAAAUCGGAGCUAGUCCGACGUUUCAACUCCGGCAAGGUGAGGUAAAUGAUCCUUAGGUCCUUCAAGGUUCUUUCUUCCUCUCGAACUUUCCGCCUUCUUCGCUUCCUCUUUAACGAUUUGGGUUCGUUUCGGUUUUGACAGGGGGCUUAGCUCGAGCUUGUUGAGCUUCGGUGUGAAAAUCUCAACAAGUUCAAAACGGAGCUUUUAACUAGGGUUUCGGAAUGAUUUCUCUAGAGUAACGGCGCAGAAAUUCGGAUCCCUACUUCAUCCCUGGAGGUCCUUAUUUAUAGCAUUUUUGAUGUACGAGGUUUUGAAUUCC
rnacentral:lncRNA from 1 species